rnacentral:rRNA from 1 species
AUGAACGCUGGCGGCGUGCCUCAUACAUGCCAGUCGAGCGAACAGACGAGGAGCUUGCUCCUCUGACGUUAGCGGCGGACGGGUGAGUAACACGUGGAUAACCUACCUAUAAGACUGGGAUAACUUCGGGAAACCGGAGCUAAUACCGGAUAAUAUAUUGAACCGCAUGGUUCAAUAGUGAAAGACGGUUUUGCUGUCACUUAUAGAUGGAUCCGCGCCGCAUUAGCUAGUUGGUAAGGUAACGGCUUACCAAGGCAACGAUGCGUAGCCGACCUGAGAGGGUGAUCGGCCACACUGGAACUGAGACACGGUCCAGACUCCUACGGGAGGCAGCAGUAGGGAAUCUUCCGCAAUGGGCGAAAGCCUGACGGAGCAACGCCGCGUGAGUGAUGAAGGUCUUCGGAUCGUAAAACUCUGUUAUUAGGGAAGAACAAAUGUGUAAGUAACUAUGCACGUCUUGACGGUACCUAAUCAGAAAGCCACGGCUAACUACGUG